GACGAACGCUGGCGGCGUGCUUAACACAUGCAAGUCGAACGGUAAGGCCCUUCGGGGUACACGAGUGGCGAACGGGUGAGUAACACGUGGGUGAUCUGCCCUGCACUUCGGGAUAAGCCUGGGAAACUGGGUCUAAUACCGGAUAGGACCCUGGGAUGCAUGUCCUGGGGUGGAAAGCUUUUGCGGUGUGGGAUGGGCCCGCGGCCUAUCAGCUUGUUGGUGGGGUGAUGGCCUACCAAGGCGACGACGGGUAGCCGGCCUGAGAGGGUGACCGGCCACACUGGGACUGAGAUACGGCCCAGACUCCUACGGGAGGCAGCAGUGGGGAAUAUUGCACAAUGGGCGCAAGCCUGAUGCAGCGACGCCGCGUGAGGGAUGACGGCCUUCGGGUUGUAAACCUCUUUCAGUUAGGACGAAGCUUUAUUGGUUAAUAACCAAUUGGAGUGACGGUACUUUCAGAAGAAGCCCCGGCUAAC
rnacentral:rRNA from 1 species